GGGGUUGUAGCUCAGAUGGAUAGAGCGAUCGCCUCCUAAGCGAUAGGCCGCGGGUUCGAAUCCCGCCAAUCCCG
rnacentral:tRNA from 3 species